GUGGGUAGUUUGACUGGGGCGGUCUCCUCCUAAAGAGUAACGGAGGAGCACGAAGGUUGGCUAAUCCUGGUCGGACAUCAGGAGGUUAGUGCAAUGGCAUAAGCCAGCUUGACUGCGAGCGUGACGGCGCGAGCAGGUGCGAAAGCAGGUCAUAGUGAUCCGGUGGUUCUGAAUGGAAGGGCCAUCGCUCAACGGAUAAAAGGUACUCCGGGGAUAACAGGCUGAUACCGCCCAAGAGUUCAUAUCGACGGCGGUGUUUGGCACCUCGAUGUCGGCUCAUCACAUCCUGGGGCUGAAGUAGGUCCCAAGGGUAUGGCUGUUCGCCAUUUAAAGUGGUACGCGAGCUGGGUUUAGAACGUCGUGAGACAGUUCGGUCCCUAUCUGCCGUGGGCGCUGGAGAACUGAGGGGGGCUGCUCCUAGUACGAGAGGACCGGAGUGGACGCAUCACUGGUGUUCGGGUUGUCAUGCCAAUGGCACUGCCCGGUAGCUAAAUGCGGAAGAGAUAAGUGCUGAAAGCAUCUAAGCACGAAACUUGCCCCGAGAUGAGUUCUCCCUGAGACUUUAGGUCUCCUGAAGGAACGUUGAAG
rnacentral:rRNA from 3 species